rnacentral:rRNA from 1 species
AACAGGAUUAGAUACCCUGGUAGUCCAUGCCGUAAACGAUGAGUGCUAAGUGUUGGGAGGUUUCCGCCUCUCAGUGCUGCAGCUAACGCAUUAAGCACUCCGCCUGGGGAGUACGACCGCAAGGUUGAAACUCAAAGGAAUUGACGGGGGCCCGCACAAGCGGUGGAGCAUGUGGUUUAAUUCGAAGCGACGCGAAGAACCUUACCAGGUCUUGACAUCCAUAGCCAGUCUAAGAGAUUAGAUGUUCCCUUCGGGAACUAUGAGACAGGUGGUGCAUGGCUGUCGUCAGCUCGUGUCGUGAGAUGUUGGGUUAAGUCCCGCAACGAGCGCAACCCUUGUCAUUAGUUGCCAGCAUUAAGUUGGGCACUCUAAUGAGACUGCCGGUGACAAACCGGAGGAAGGUGGGGAUGACGUCAAGUCAUCAUGCCCCUUAUGACCUGGGCUACGCACGUGCUACAAUGGACGGUACAACGAGAAGCGACCCUGUGAAGGCAAGCGGAUCUCUGAAAGCCGUUCUCAGUUCGGAUUGCAGGCUGCAACUCGCCUGCAUGAAGCUGGAAUCGCUAGUAAUCGCAAAUCAGCACGUUGCGGUGAAUACGUUCCCGGGCCUUGUACACACCGCCCGUCACACCAUGAGAGUUUGUAACGCCCGAAGCCGGCGGGAUAACCGAAAGGAGUCAGCCGUCUAAGGCGGGACAGAUGAUUAGGGUGAA